GGCUGGGGAGGGGACAGGCCCUUCCCAGCUGCACUGGAUGGAUGGCAGCACCUUCCCACCCAGAUGCCUCCAGGCUGAGGGAGCCCAGGGGGGAUGUUCAGCCUGGAGAAGAGAAGGCUCCAGGGAGACCUUAGAGCGACCUUCCAGUGCCAGCCUGGUUCCUGGAGGAGUUUGCUGUGGAAUCAGGAGGUUAAUGUGAGGAAUCUCAAACCCACAGUGGGGACAUCCCAGUGACUGCUGCUGCUCAGGAAUGGACAACCAGAAGCUGCCCCAGCUCACUGGCUUUGCCCCUUGAUGCCACCAGAGCCUCACCUCCACUUGCAGCAGAAGAAAGGCUGGGCAUGGCCCCACACCCACUCUGCCCCCAGCUUCUCCAGGGCAAACUCCACCGACAGCUUCUGGAAGGAGCUCUGCAGGCACUGCAGCUCCUGGCCCUCACCACGCCGUGCCCGGGCCGGGCAUUGCCCGCAGUCCAGCUGCAGCCCUGCCAGCUGGGGAAGGGGACAAGAGCAGCUGCUGCCACGGGUGCCCUACCGGCACCGCUCCCGCGGGAGAAGCUCUCGGGCACCUACCUUGCUGGAGACGCAGCCGAGCUCCCGCAGCAGCUCCUGCUCCUCCUGCCGCCGCUCCAGCUGCCCCAGGAAGCUCAGCAGCUUGCUCUGGAACUGCGCCGCAGCCGCCCGCAACGGAUCAGCCU